UCCCCUACAAACUGUUGUUGAACAGUGC
rnacentral:piRNA from 1 species